UCUGGGAAAAAUGUAAGGCAUAUAUACAUAUAUUGAAAACCAAAAGCCCACUCACUAGUAUGUAGUAGGUCAUAACCUUCGAGCCUCGCCUAACUGCGCUCGUCUUCUGGAAACGUCUCACCUAUAUGUGAAACAACUAUUUUAACAUUAAUUUUAAGCACAUACUCAAAACUAUGUAAUAACUUCUCAUACGUUGCUCAAUUGAGUGUUUGAAUAUACCAUCGUGGCCUACUCAACACCACGAAUAUCCUCAUAUUUUUAGAAAAACUUUCCGAUGCUCUAUGCACCCUCACGUGUAGGCCAAGACACAGCCAUACGCGUAACCACGCGU
rnacentral:lncRNA from 1 species